AGAUUAAGUUAUUAAGGGCGCACGGUGGAUGCCUUGGCACUAGAAGCCGAUGAAGGACGUUACUAACGACGAUAUGCUUUGGGGAGCUGUAAGUAAGCUUUGAUCCAGAGAUUUCCGAAUGGGGAAACCCAGCAUGAGUUAUGUCAUGUUAUCGAUAUGUGAAUACAUAGCAUAUCAGAAGGCACACCCGGAGAACUGAAACAUCUUAGUACCCGGAGGAAGAGAAAGAAAAUUCGAUUCCCUUAGUAGCGGCGAGCGAAACGGGAAGAGCCCAAACCAACAAGCUUGCUUGUUGGGGUUGUAGGACACUCUAUACGGAGUUACAAAGGACGACAUUAGACGAAUCAUCUGGAAAGAUGAAUCAAAGAAGGUAAUAAUCCUGUAGUCGAAAAUGUUGUCUCUCUUGAGUGGAUCCUGAGUACGACGGAGCACGUGAAAUUCCGUCGGAAUCUGGGAGGACCAUCUCCUAAGGCUAAAUACUCUCUAGUGACCGAUAGUGAACCAGUACCGUGAGGGAAAGGUGAAAAGCACCCCGGAAGGGGAGUGAAAUAGAACCUGAAACCGUGUGCUUACAAGUAGUCAGAGCCCGUUAAUGGGUGAUGGCGUGCCUUUUGUAGAAUGAACCGGCGAGUUACGAUUUGAUGCAAGGUUAAGCAGUAAAUGUGGAGCCGUAGCGAAAGCGAGUCUGAAUAGGGCGUUUAGUAUUUGGUCGUAGACCCGAAACCAGGUGAUCUACCCUUGGUCAGGUUGAAGUUCAGGUAACACUGAAUGGAGGACCGAACCGACUUACGUUGAAAAGUGAGCGGAUGAACUGAGGGUAGCGGAGAAAUUCCAAUCGAACCUGGAGAUAGCUGGUUCUCUCCGAAAUAGCUUUAGGGCUAGCCUCAAGUGAUGAUUAUUGGAGGUAGAGCACUGUUUGGACGAGGGGCCCCUCUCGGGUUACCGAAUUCAGACAAACUCCGAAUGCCAAUUAAUUUAACUUGGGAGUCAGAACAUGGGUGAUAAGGUCCGUGUUCGAAAGGGAAACAGCCCAGACCACCAGCUAAGGUCCCAAAAUAUAUGUUAAGUGGAAAAGGAUGUGGCGUUGCCCAGACAACUAGGAUGUUGGCUUAGAAGCAGCCAUCAUUUAAAGAGUGCGUAAUAGCUCACUAGUCGAGUGACACUGCGCCGAAAAUGUACCGGGGCUAAACAUAUUACCGAAGCUGUGGAUUGUCCUUUGGACAAUGGUAGGAGAGCGUUCUAAGGGCGUUGAAGCAUGAUCGUAAGGACAUGUGGAGCGCUUAGAAGUGAGAAUGCCGGUGUGAGUAGCGAAAGACGGGUGAGAAUCCCGUCCACCGAUUGACUAAGGUUUCCAGAGGAAGGCUCGUCCGCUCUGGGUUAGUCGGGUCCUAAGCUGAGGCCGACAGGCGUAGGCGAUGGAUAACAGGUUGAUAUUCCUGUACCACCUAUAAUCGUUUUAAUCGAUGGGGGGACGCAGUAGGAUAGGCGAAGCGUGCGAUUGGAUUGCACGUCUAAGCAGUAAGGCUGAGUAUUAGGCAAAUCCGGUACUCGUUAAGGCUGAGCUGUGAUGGGGAGAAGACAUUG
rnacentral:rRNA from 2 species